ensembl:snRNA U6 U6 spliceosomal RNA
UCAUUAUUUAGGGUUGACCAUGACAGAACUUGUAAUAUACAGAGAUUAGCAUGGCCCCUGAGCAAGGACAACAAGCAAAUUCAUGAAGUGUUCCAUAUUUUU